rnacentral:rRNA from 1 species
CUACCUGCAGUCGACGGCAGCACAGCAGUAGCAAUACUGUGGGUGGCGAGUGGCGGACGGGUGAGUAAUGCAUCGGGACCUGCCCAGACGUGGGGGAUAACGUAGGGAAACUUACGCUAAUACCGCAUACGUCCUACGGGAGAAAGCGGGGGAUCGAAAGACCUCGCGCGGUUGGAUGGACCGAUGUUCGAUUAGCUAGUUGGUGAGGUAAUGGCUCACCAAGGCGACGAUCGAUAGCUGGUCUGAGAGGAUGAUCAGCCACACUGGGACUGAGACACGGCCCAGACUCCUACGGGAGGCAGCAGUGGGGAAUAUUGGACAAUGGGCGCAAGCCUGAUCCAGCAAUGCCGCGUGUGUGAAGAAGGCCUUCGGGUUGUAAAGCACUUUUAUCAGGAGCGAAAUACCACGGGUUAAUACCCUAUGGGGCUGACGGUACCUGAGGAAUAAGCACCGGCUAACUUCGUGCCAGCAGCCGCGGUAAUACGAAGGGUGCAAGCGUUAAUCGGAAUUACUGGGCGUAAAGGGUGCGUAGGCGGUUCGUUAAGUCUGUUGUGAAAUCCCCGGGCUCAACCUGGGAAUGGCAAUGGAUACUGGCGAGCUAGAGUGUGAUAGAGGAUGGUGGAAUUCCCGGCGUAGCGGUGAAAUGCGUAGAGAUCGGGAGGAACAUCAGUGGCGAAGGCGGCCAUCUGGAUCAACACUGACGCUGAAGCACGAAAGCGUGGGGAGCAAACAGGAUUAGAUACCCUGGUAGUCCACGCCCUAAACGAUGCGAACUGGAUGUUGGUCUCAACUCGGAGAUCAGUGUCGAAGCUAACGCGUUAAGUUCGCCGCCUGGGGAGUACGGUCGCAA